rnacentral:lncRNA from 1 species
UGGACAUUUUAAGUAGCGCUGGUGUGAGGGCUGCUGAAAAAAAAUGUCUUAAUCCUGUUUGGUCUGUCUUUCUGGAACAGGUUUAUGAAGUAGUAGGGCUUGGAAGAAGACUUCAGAGUUUGAGAAGAUAUGUACCUUUCGAAGCUGACCACUUUCCAUGUCCUUGCUGAAGUGUGUGUGUGUGUGUGUGUACACAAAGACCAGAGAGAGGGUCACAUGUGCUGGAUCUGAAGUUGUAGGUGGUUGUGAUCCGCCAGAGUGGAAGUUGAGAAAUAAACCCAAGUCCUCUGCAGAGUACCAAGUGCUCUAACCAUUGAGAUCUACCUGCAACUCCCAAAAACAAAUUCUCAAAGAGGGCGUCUCACCCUCUGUGGAUUCUGGAAUUGCUAUGCGGGUGAUUUUGCUCCUUCGUGGAUGUCCUUCCCCAAGCUGGAGAGUGUGGAUCCACAUCCUUAUCAACGGAGACAAGACACCUUGUGAACAGGUUUUCCCAUUUCAGGACCCUGCACAUGCUAGAGAGUGGUCCACAGAGUCUGCUCCAGCAGAAGAGUCCUGAGUUGCCCAAGCUCUGGGUUUUCUGAUGAGGUGACUUGGAACGGGGUUGGAUGUGUGGUUUGGUCCCAGUAGACGGCAACAGCUGUAUUUGGCUCUGGCUUGAGAAUGAUGGGCACAGGAAAGUCCACGACCAAAGCAAUGACGCUGGCAGUACUAGCGGAAUGCAGAAGGGCAGAGUGGGGAAGGAUGCUAAGAUCCUACAAAUAAAGCUCUCCCAUUAAGGAACUGCCUCGAGUCCCUGGAUUCUCUUCUCCAUAUUCAGGCUGAAUCACUCUGUCUUCUUCCUAGGGUUUUUAGUAUACCUUCCAGGACUGUGUAUUACUUCACCUGCCAAGGCAAGCUCGGGCUUGGUAUCAGGAUUCCUGAAUGUUAACAAGCAGAUACGAGAUCUCAGGAAAAACACAGCAAUAAAAAAGCAUUUAUUAAGGCAACU